rnacentral:lncRNA from 1 species
GCCAAAUUUGAUGCAGUUAUGUUUAGUAAUACGCCUAUAAACAUACUUUAAGUCGAAAUUAACUUGAGUAGGAGAUGAUGUCCGCCAUUUUGGAUUUUACCGGAAGUGAGAUUUUUUUUUUAAAUGCCUCCCUAUCUGAAUUAAAAGAGUAAUAGUUGAGGAAGGUUUAUGCCAAAUUUCAUGCUUGUAACAGGAUGUGCACAAUUCUUCUGAAAUAUGCCUGUAGCCGCCGGACUAGUAUCAGGAUGGAUAUAUAAGACUAUGUAUUUUUAACUUAUAUACCGGAAGUGCCUAUGUACGGAUCAAAACGAAACAGUACGUAUAAAUGAAUACCUGUGGUGGUCACCUUCUACACUUUUAAUGGUUACGUGGAAUGAUAGCAUGAUUUAAUCAUGGGGACAAUCAAUUAAUUAGCCGCGGUGCAUGUGUUUGAAAGAACAUACAGAAGAUAUUAAAAUAUAUAUUUGUUAAGAAAAUAAACAUUUUAAAUAGUAGGGACCGACCAUUUAACUUUUAGAUUUUUUUAUGCGGCGCGACAAAUUAUUUUUUUCAAAUUUAACAUUCAAUGAUUUUUUUGUGGUAAUUAUCCAAGAUAAGAUUUUUUCCUUCCUUAAAAUUCAGAAUCAAAUAUAUUCUUUCCGAAAGAACCAUACCCUCUCCCACCCCCUCUUCAUGUUAAAUGGUCGGUCCUGGACAAAUGAUUUUUUUAUUAUUAUCGAUAAUCUACAUCAAAUUGAUGUAUCUUUGAGGAGGGUAUAAGGAGGGAACCAUUUGAUUCUGAAGGGCAGGUCUGGCAGAUUUGGUCAGUCAGAUUAUUUAUUUUAGAAAAAAAAAUUCAACUGCUACACGCAAGAUUAUUUAUUAUACAUGUAUCAUUUUACUGUAUAAUAGAAUUUGGAGGCCAGUUUUUUUUUAGGUGGAAGCCAGCAUAUUUAUUACUUUUUUAUUACUGGCCAAUAAAUUUAUUUUCGUGAUCUGCCAGCUCCGAUCCUAGAAUCAUAGGGUCGUCCACUAACCCCAUUUAGUAUGCGGUAUUGCUGGUAUUAUUUAAGAUAUUUGGUCUGGGAAAAAAGAAUAGUGCGCCGAAAACAAAAUUGGAACUUGAUUCGCUGGAAUUAUAAAAUUAUAUUAUUAUAUCUUAUUUGGUAAUUCAUCGUUUAUUCUGCGAAAGAACACCUAGUAUAUAUGAAGUUUUCUGUUAAGUAUUCUGUAUUCGUUAUUUUCUUUUUUUCCCUAAGUACAAAGAGUACAAGGAAUCCCCCUUUUUCUAUUUAGCUCAUUCUAAACAAUGAUUCGAAUUAAUACAAAUGUUCAGUUAAUUCUUUCUUAAGCUUUGCAUGUAUGCGCCCAAGGAGGGGUCACUUCCUAUAUAAAAGUAUAUACAGACGUUCCUCUAGAAUUGGCAUUUUUCAACUUGUCAAAUACAUGACUGGAUAUGAAAUUAAAACCUUAUUAUAUGACUUGGCCGGUAAUUUCAGGCCUAAUAAAUUACUAGGCAAAAAUUAUCAGGCAAAUCUAUGAUUGGGGUAGAAAUUUUGAACUAAGGGACCAUCCAUUUAAUUGAAAAUGGGACUGGGGGAAGGGCAUGUUUAAGAAAGGGUAUGUUCAAAUUUCUCGUCAGAAAUUAUUUUUGUCUCUGCCAUUUCUAACCAUUCUUUAUUCGUUCAGUACCUAAGAAUUUGGAAUCAAAUUAUUUAUUUCAGAAAAUACCCCCCCUUUUUUCCAUGCAAGUUAAAUGGUCGGUUUCUAAACUCAUGUUUUGGUCACAAUUUCAACGCGAAAUGUGUGUACCGUUUGGGAGAGUUUGGUACUGCAUCCAAUUAAAGUUGUUACUUGUUUUUAAAAGCUUCAAUUUUGCAAUAAUGAAAAAUAAGAGAGCCUAUCUUUUUAUUUAUAUAUGAUUUCCUUAUGGCCUAUCCUGCCGUUUAAUUUCACCUCCCUUUUACAAAUCAAACAGGUCGUUCUCUACUCUAGGUGCUGGCCAGAAUUAUUGUUUUUACCAAAAUCAGACUAAAAAUAUUUUGUUCUAAAAAAAUAUAAGCCCCCCACCACUCCCACCAGAAAAUGCUCCGUGACUGACGACGACAAACAAAAUAAAAAAAAUAAAACAGGCAGUACGCGUAUCAAUCAAUAAAAAUGCACUUAUAAUCAAAGCGAGAUAAAAAUGAACACUUAGGCAUCCUAACUUGAAAUUAAUGAUCCCGUUUCGUGUCAUACGGCAAAGUGGGUGAUACGUUCGUGAUCCGUACGUGAUUCGUGAUCUCACCGGUUACCUCUACUA